GAAAAAUCUCAGCAGUCAAAUACCACCAAAAGAAAGCUGUAUUUGUGAGAAGAAAAGGCGGUUCCUACAAUAUAGGAUCCUCUCAGUGGAUAUCUUCUAUAUGACAUCAAUCUCCUGAUUGACCCUUCAAGGAUGGAUAGGGACAGGGACAAGAUGGCGGAGAGUAUAAUAAAUCUCACCCUAGAGGUCCUCUUCCGGCUUACUGGAGAGGACUACACAGUAGUGAAGAAGACCUCUAGUGAGUGCUGUCAGGACCCUGUGUCUGAAGGAU